rnacentral:rRNA from 1 species
UGGGGAAUUUUGGACAAUGGGCGCAAGCCUGAUCCAGCAAUGCCGCGUGCAGGAUGAAGGCCUUCGGGUUGUAAACUGCUUUUGUACGGAGCGAAAAGGUCUGCCCUAAUACGGUGGGCUCAUGACGGUACCGUAAGAAUAAGCACCGGCUAACUACGUGCCAGCAGCCGCGGUAAUACGUAGGGUGCGAGCGUUAAUCGGAAUUACUGGGCGUAAAGCGUGCGCAGGCGGUUAUAUAAGACAGAUGUGAAAUCCCCGGGCUCAACCUGGGACCUGCAUUUGUGACUGUAUAGCUAGAGUACGGUAGAGGGGGAUGGAAUUCCACGUGUAGCAGUGAAAUGCGUAGAUAUGCGGAGGAACGCCGAUGGCGAAGGCAAUCCCCUGGACCUGUACUGACGCUCAUGCACGAAAGCGUGGGGAGCAAACA